GGGGGAGGGAGGAAUCAUGAACAGUAAAGGGAAUCCUAACUUAGUCUGUUUUUUGCUGCUCUUUCUGCUUCGCAGGACCCACGAGCUGUGGCUCUCCCAUAGGAUCCUCAAAACUGGGAUAAUAAACUGCUGUCGACACAGGACUUGGACCUUAAAUAGAGGUAGAGUGAUGGGUUUUACUAUUACCUCUUGUAAAUAAAAAAAACUAUAAUGUGGAAUUGGUACAGGGGACAGAAGCUUGGAUGCAGUGAUGAGAACACAUGAUUGAAAAUUUCUGUUAAAGAAAGGCAGCUGGCUAGCAAUACAAUGGAUUCCUAUGACUGAAGAGAUACUAUAUAAAUAUAUAUAAAACAGGGUGGUGGUGGUGGUGGAGGGGUGGAGGGUUAAUCUCAUAAGAGCAGACAUUAGGCUGUUAGUGUAGGACCUGCCAAAGAUGGGGUACAUUGACGUUGUGGCAGGCUUAUGCAAUGUAUGAUCAUAUAAUGUAACUAAACCCCCAUUAUUUUUGCCUAGAUUAGGUGUUUUUAAAAAAAUGAAUAAAAUCUGUCAACACUGAAGUUGCUGUUUAGUGGAUAGGUGAGUGCGCUGGAUCUUGUGUAUUAUCUAUAUAUAUAAUAUUAUACACACACAAUAUCUUAUAUCAGUGGUCAUGGAGAGGGUCAUAUGUAGAUUAAGGAAUCAUUAAGGUAAAUAACUGCACAGCACAGUGUUCAUUUUUUUCUCCCUCGCUCUAGCAAAUGUUUCCUGAAUAAGUUAUCUGCUCAGAGAGGCCACACUUUCACUGUGUCUGAAUGCCUUCUAGAAUCUUACCAACUAUCCAUUUCAAGUUCAAACCCCCAUGGGUAACUUAGUCCCUCCUAUCCUCUGGUUUCUUAUGAAUUGUAUGAAACUCACUUUAUUUACUAUUAUUGUCACUUCAUUUAAUUAUCAUUGUUUAAUGUACUCGUGAAGUCUCUGCACAGCUUGAUGGAAAAAGUUGAGGUUCUAGAAAUGCAAAUAAUCAAUCAAUUACUUAUUGACGACAUAUUGAUAUUAAGGGCUGACUCUUAUUACAGGAGAAAAAAUCUAAAUCUGGUAACUAAGUGACUUGUAUUGACUUCUAUGGGACAAACGUUGCACAAAUACUACUAAUAUAAUUCUAUCAUCAAUAUCUAAAUUUAUAGGAAAUGCUUAAUAAAAAUGUCCCAAAUAUCUUAAUACUAAUGUGCUCAAUUACUUAGAAUAGUAAUAGCUGCUUCCAUCUCCCAAACAGUCUUGUGGAAGUGUCCAUGUUUAUGGUGGGACACUGUAGGCCUCAUGUGUUGGUUUGUAUUGACAUUUUUAUGUUAAGUUGUUCCAUUUCUUGCUUGAGCAAUGCAAUGUGUUGCACAUUCCAUAUUCAUUUAAAAUGCUCAUAUUGAUGGGUGCACUCUACUUGUUUUGCUUGUUUGUUGCCUGUUUUAUUCCUGCAGUUAAUAUUUAUGGUCAGCUAAUGACUAAGUGUAGCAUAUAUUAGCAGGUCUGCAGGCAAAUGGAUUGUAGAUAUUGAGGGCCAUGGACUUGGUUAAUCAGCAGAUGGAUAAUAUCUUUUAAAUACACCACAAGAAAGGUUUGUGACCAUUAAUUAGUAGGGCUGGUAUUCUACUAAAUUUGGGACCUAUAGAGCAAAACAGGGUGUUAAAAAAUUUUACUUUUUUUUUUUUUUAUAUAUCUAGGCCCCCGACUGCCACACAAAGGGACUCAGCUGACCAUUACAUGGGUCACAGAAAAUAUCAAUAUGUUUAAUAUUGAUGAUACAAAUCUUCUUUAACGUGAAUGACAUACUAUCAUUUAUUAUUUAUAUACACACACAGAUAUAUAUACAUAUAUAUAUAUAUAUAUAUACAUAUAUAUAUAUAUAUAUAUAUAUGUGUGUGUGCAUGCAUUUUCCUUCUCCUGAUUGUUGUGCUGCAUUGCGAGAGCUCUUCUCUGCCUAUAUAUAGACAGGAGAAUCAGGAUACUCAGUAGUUAUUACCUGACUCAUGGCUUAUCAUGGCUAGACUAUAUUGGUAAAACUGAUGGCUUCAUUCACCUAUUUCAUUCCAGUACAACUCAAUAUGUAAUCCGUUAUUUAUAGUGUGGAAGAUGGUUUUAAUGCUUCUUACUCACUGCAACAAUGGAAUGUCUAAGCAUUGUUCUCACUAUCCAUCACAUUGACCGAUAUCUGUUUUUUCCAGUUGCAGCAAAACUUUAAAGGUUAAUUUUGAGGAACACCAGCUGCUGGCCUUCUGUUCUUGUAUGUUUUGCUGUGAAACACAGAAGCUGUCAGAUUAUUUAACUGCCAUUUGCUAAUUAUAAUCAGUGUUUGUUAAUAGGUGAAACAUUUUUAUGCCAUGUCCAGAUUUUGGUGCUAAAACAGUAUUUUUUGUAUCGCCAAGUACUGAUUAAGUUGCACAUUCGCAAAUUAUCGUUCACUAGAUUUUAUGAAAGUGAAUUAUAAUGUUAACUACCCAGGAGCCACCAGGCAAAUAGUUAAAAGACCCUCGGCAGUAUGCCAUGUGGUGACUGGUGAGCAACUGAUAGCCAACCACCACAUUAAAAAAGUUAAAUAAAAAGCCUGCGGGGUCAGUAAGACCCCAAUAUGUACUAUAAGGGAAACCUCUCUAUGCCCCUAUCUGCCAUGGAGUGGAAUAUCUACUAAAUGUUCGUAACAUAUUCCCCCCCAUACACCCCCCUAUGAGCAUCGGUUGAAGACCUAUUCAUCCUCCUGCCCUCACUUGUGGCCAUCAGGUUGGAGAUUAUUUCAUAAAAGGACAACCCCAUGUUUUUUUUAUUUUUUUUAUUUAGAGGCCUCAACCUAUGUUAAUAAGUUACUUUUCCAGACAUAGAUAUCAUUAUUAUUAUUGCCAUUUAUAUAGCGCCAACAGAUGUAGCGCUUUACAAUAUUAUGAGGGGGGAAUUUAACUAUAAAUAGGAGAAUUACAGGAAAGAUAGGUUGAAGAGGACCCUGCUCAAAUGAGCUUACAGUCUAUAGGAGGUGUGGUGUAAAACACAUUAGGACAGGAAAUAGCAAUCAAAUAAGGUGGGAGUGAAGCAGAGCUGGAGGAGAGAGUAGAGUGCUGCCCUUUAGGAGAGAGCAAGGGACAGGUAUGCCAUACAAUUUCCUAAAGAGAUGGGUUUUAAGGCACCUUUUCAAAACGAAGAUGUUCCAAAGUACAAAUAAAGUGUCAGUAUAGCAAAAAAAAAGUAUGGAAGUAGCACUGAGAAUGUGGGGGAUAUUAUGUGUAUUGGAUGGGGCAAAUGCAAUGUGCGCCCAGUUUCAACUCUCCUGUUCAGAGCAUCUCCUUUGCUGGCCUUCAGCUUGUUAUCUGUGUGACAUUUGUCUGUGUCUCAUCAAAGUCAGUAGUGAAAAAACAAGAUAAGCAUUUUAGAACUUCGGGGAAUUAUGAAUUUGCCACAUGUUGAGAGCCAAAUGCCCCUGGCGUGUCAUAAAUUUAAGCUACUAAGGUUAGUAGUAGCUGAAACUUAGGUUAGGAGGAGCCAUAACAGACCCUACAAAUUGUGAAGAGUAAGGUAAAUAAGCAGAAAAUCAUGGCCUUUCAUCAUUGUGAAACUAAUGGAAAAUCAAACCUUUAUUGUGUCCUCAACAUUUUCACUUUAAACUUUCAUUUGCAUAUGGAAACACAUCGGAUUACAGCUAGUGAACACAUUUGAUAUUUUUCAAAUACAUCAUUGAGACUCUAUUGUGAAUAGAACAAAAUAAGAAAUUAAGAAAUUAAAAUGAAUUUUAUAUUUUGAAUGCUUGUUUCACCCAUAAAAAGCUAAUACUAUGUAUGUUGUAUAAAAACCAUAACUACAAACUGUUGUGAAAAGUAAGUAAAAAAAACAAAAAAAAACCAACAAACAAAAAACACAAACAGCAUUAGUAUUACACUUGGCAAUGCCUUUACCUGGCUUCCUGGUAAAAACCUCAGAGCAUCUACGCGAACGUAUAUAACCAUGUCGGGGAUCUCAGGGUAUCCUCUAAAGAUGCUCAAGAAGAACAAUUCCAUAUAUAAAAUGUAAAAGCCCUGUAAGAGCAUUCUGUUUUCCUUCCUUAUAUUUUAACAAUUAUAUUGUAAAUCAGUCAGUGAUUAUUUACGUCAGUUUCACUUUAAGUAGAUGCAUUCCUGGAAGGAGGUGUAUAGCAGGGUCAAGUGCACCCAUGGUUACUACCCCUUCAGUAAGAUAUUUGAUACACAGUUGGUAUUUAGGAUGACAUGGUGGGUGAGUGAUAUUUGUAGACUAGAUCAAUUCAUAUAUAUGAUGUAUCCUCCUGCAUUCCGUAUUGUCUGCAUUGCAUGCCCGAGACUGUAUGCAGUCAUAAUUAAAAUAGAUAUGGUAUACUUGGUCUGUACAUGUGUGUUCUUAGAAAUGAUAAUGGAAUUCUGCAAAUUGCCCUCCAAAUGUUUUUUUAAUUGAAAUUGAUAGAAUGCUGAUCUUACUCUUUCUUUUUUUUCUUUAGUUUGUUAAAAAAUCAUCCAUUAAUUAUAAAAUUAUUAGAAAAGCAUGUUUAGAUGAUUAAGAACUUAUAUAUAUAUAUAUAUAUAUACAUAUCUACAUACCAAGAGAGUUGUGGUUAGGAAGAAAAUGUGGAUGAAGACACCUUCCACCUGAAGUAAGUAGAUAGUUAAAACAUUGCUAAACACAAAUAUACACACCAGUCAAACCACUGGCGUAUAUACUGGAGUGUAUAUAUGUAUGUAUGAGUGUCGUGUCUGUGUCGGUCUGUAUAUAUAUGUGUCUGUAUGUAUGUGUGUGUGUGUGCCUGUUGGAGGGGGGGGAGGGGAGGAAAGGGGGGUCCAUGGAUCAGUUUCGCACAGGGGCCCUAUGGAUUGUGUGUAUGCCACUGAGUCAAACUAUAAGACUUGCUUUUCCCACAGAAAUAUCACUUUAACAGUGCUCUCAAUACUGCAAGGGAUUCUGGGUAGGCAUAUGCAAAUUAGCUCAGCAAAGAACCACAUUUUUGCCUCAAUUCCACUUUAUACAUGGAUUCCUUGGAGUAUGUGUUUGCUGUAUACAGCAGCUUUGAAACACAACUCAGAAAGAGGAGCAAAGCCCGUGAACCACUCAGGGACAGCUGUUUUGUUGUUAAUGCAACUCAUUAGCAUGAGGUUGGUUACUGGCUUGCUAUUGAGGCUUGGUGUUACUUGUAAAGUAUAUACCAGCGAGUUGUGGUGGGGAAAAAAGUGUGGUUGAAAACACAAAUGCACACACCAGUCAAGCCAUAAGACUUGCUUUUCCCACAGAAAUCUCACUUUAACAGUGCUCUCACUACUGCAAGGGGAGCUCAUUUGCUUCCCUUGCAAUAGUGAGAGCACUGUUAAAGUGAGAUUUCUGUGGGAAAAGCAAGUCUUAUAGUUUGACUGGUGUGUGUAUUUGUGUUUAGCAAUGUAUUAACUAUUCCCAUAUCUAUAUAUUUAUAUUUAUUUUAUAAACAUUGAGGCCAAAAUGUGAUCCUACAAAAAUGGUGAAGUAGAAUACUGUCCGAAUAAUCUACUUUCACAAUUUGCUCAUUGAUUUACCAUAAUUCCGCUGUUAGAAAUAUAACCUGUGGACUACCAUGGAAGUACUUUGUAAGUAUGUGUGUGUGUGUGUAUCUUAUGGGAACAUAAUGACAUUGAGACGUUCUGGAGAUAUUAUAAACCUCAAAAAUAAUGUAUAAUGUCACCAGUGAAGGCGUUAUUCUAUUUUUAAUAUUAUUUUAACAUUUUGUCUUGCAGCAGCAGGAGUCCACGUGUGAUUUGUAUAUAUAAAAAUCAUAAAAAUAGUAAUUAAAAAAUUGUGUUUUUUUUAAACACUUUGCUGCUGCUUUUUGUUUCAUUGCCUAUGUCCUGUACAGAAGUGGGUCACAGCAUGGAUGUAUCUAUUAUGAGGCAAACAAGGCAUUUGCCCUGGGCGGCAAUUUCCAGGGGGUAGCAAAAAUGCCAUCCCCAAAUGCCCAGGCAAAUACCUUGCCUUGUUUUAUGGGAGCCCAAGAGCUGGCUGGCUGGUCACCUUUGGGCUCCCCUGGGGAAACAGGCGAUUAUUUCCCGGGUGGGCGGUGAGGGAGCACUUUCCCCUGAGCUCUCUCUGCUCAGCUCCCGUGCGAUCUGCAGUGAUACUGGGAGCUGGAAUAUGACGUCAGUCCAGCUCCCAGCCUUACUCUGCAUCGAGUGAGGGAGCUGAGCAGAAAGCUCCCUCGAUUAAAACAUAGAGCACUCGCCUGCACGUCCGGCCGCCUUCCUGUCAGUGAAUGUGUGUGUCAGUGAAUGUGAGUGUGUGUUUCUGAGUGACUUUGCAUGUCUGUCAGUAAGUGUAUGCGUCUGUCAGUGUGUGUCUAAAUGAUUGUAUGUAUGUCAGAUUGUAUCAAAUCAGUGAGUGUAUGUGUGUGUAUGUCAGUGUAUCUGAGAGUGUGUGCUGGUCCAUGAGUGUGUGUCUGUCAGUCAAAAUGUGUGUAAGUUAACAGGAAGAGGUGUGGCUUUGGCAGGAAGGGGUGGGUACAUUUAAAUUGAGAUGCCCGUGAUCUGUCAUGCCUGGGGCAGCACCAUUUCAAAAUACACCACUGGGUCACAGGACAGUUACCUGCUGUAAAUGGAAUGUUCUAUAAGUGUGACCAUGUCUAUAAUUCUGGGAUGUGUGGGAAAUGCUAUGGUUAUAACUUUACAACUUGCUUAAUUAGCUACAUUUGAAAAAUAAAAGGUUUGCAAGGAUUAUUAAUUAUUGACAAGAAUGGAAAAAAACUGUAUUAUUUUUGCCUUGUUGUGUAACUACAGGGACAUACUCUUGCUUCCUUCUUCCUGAUGAUAUCUUUUUGUACAAUUCUGUCUUAUUAAAGUAUUAAAUUCAAUUUUAUCAUUUCACUACACUUUCCAUCUACCUAUCCUGCAUACACUUAUUCCCGUUUAGGGUUAUAAAUAUAAGCCUAAAUGGGUGAUUAUUGUCACCUUCCUGGCAUAUAAAUGGGGGGACAAUGGAAAGGAAAAAAUAUAUUUUAAAGCACAAGUCUCUUUGACACCUACAGAGUGUGACUGUAAAAUAAAAAUGAUGCAACAAAAAAACUGCAAUAAUCAUUCAUUUAGCAUGUAAGCCAACACAUAAUCAUUGCCAGAACUAAAAUGUAUGUUUACACAUGUGUGCACCUGUUAAAUCUACCAGCUUUUCUGAUUGACAUGGACCGCAGUGUAAAAAAACAGCUGUUUGUACAUAGAGGCAGUGUUCCUUUAUUUGAAGCAAUGUAACAUAUGUCUGUGAGGAACAGAAAUUCUAGGGUUAACAAAUGGACAUGUGACGUACCAACAAAUUAGUAAAGCUUCCGAUUUAUCCUGCAUUAGCAGAAAUUGCAUUCUCCCCAUCCAGUAUGUUGUCAUUACCAAGAUAAUAUUCUUUAUUUCCAUUAAGAGAUUUAUUGAUGAUAUUUAUUUUACUGACAAUAACAAUCCAUCUUUUGGAAACUGUUAUUCAUUGCUUCAAGGACAAUUAACUCCUUAAACAACGAUUAUAUUGUGUGAUUUAUAGGAACCCAGUUGGGUACAUUAGAAUACCAAAUAGCAGCAUGAAAUAGCCUGCUAAUUUCUAUCCUGCAUCUAAAUGAGAUUGGAAUGAUAUCUAUCUGGGAUAAAAACCAUCAAUAGCAGCAUUGUAUUUAGAAAGAAGGGUCUUACUAAUAUAUAUGAGUUUUGUACUUAGGGUAUUGAGGGGGGGUGGUGGAGGGAUAUUUUUUUUUUUUUUGGUCAUAAUUCUAUUGUUACGUCAUGAAUCAUUUUGCACUAUACAAAAGAGGAAUCCUGUUUUCGUAGCAGCUGAAAAAAAUAUCUUCACAGCAUAAAGAGUGAAUAACAGUUGCUUGUUUUGGUAUGUGGGAAAUCAAGCCUGCUUGCUACAAUAAAAAAAAGGAAAAUCUACUUGGAAAAAUACAGAAAAUUAGUUGGCUCUUCCCAUUUUGUUUUAUUUUAUUUAUUUUUUUUAAGAAUUUUUGGAAUAUGUUAUAUUGUAAAAUGUGAAUGGCAUAAUCAGUUUAGCUUAAAGAUACAAUGUUUUAUUCUCAUCUUGCUGCAAGUAGUUAGAUCACUGAAAAAAAUGUGUUUUAGUGACCUGGCAUCAGCAUAUGUUAGCAGUCUCUGGAAAUAGUUCAAAGAUUGUAGUUUCAAUUAUACUACGAAGAAAAUGAGAAUUUAAACUUCGCUUUGGUAAUCAGGGCAGGGGUUCUGGUAUUGCAAAAUGUAUUGGUGCCUGUUUUUUUUUUUUUUUGUAUAAAUAAUAUCUUAAAAAUAUACAAAUAUUUAGGAAAUAUAUAAAUAUUCAGGAAAUAUAUAAAGAUGCUACAAGCUCUGGUAACAUUGAAAAUACUGAAAAUUCAUAUGUUUCCUUACCUUAUCCCGCUCUUUUAUACUUAUUAAUAAAACCUAGAUGUCUUCCACAAGCUGGAACAAGGUGCUGAUCAGUCAUUUCCCUUCCAAGUAAAUAGGUGACACAUAGUUCUGGGAGUACAAUUAAUUUUAAUGAGCCAAACGUGGCCUUUUAUGUACAUACCUCAGCAGGGGGUCUCAAAACAAUACAAUACAAGCCCCUCCCAGGAAUCUCUGUGCCUGGGAGAUAAUUGAGUUAAAGACUGGUAAGCUAAUUAUCUCCCAGGAACAGAGAGCUAAACACAUAAAAACAUAAAAGUACCCCAAUACAUCAUAAAAACAUAUAAUAAUCCCACAAGUUAUACAUCCCCAAGUAGCCCUGAUAAGAGCCGCCAAGUUGUCCAAAUAAUGCUCAGAUCCAUGCUGUGUAGGGGAAAAGGCACCAUGUCAAAGUUCUGACCGGCCGCACACGGGGUCCUAUGCCCAAAAUAGUUCCGGGGUGUAUGGUGCUUUGGCUGGUCAACUUUCAGGAGCUCCUGCAUCUGAAAUACGGGUUUCUCAGGAGCUCCUGUAUCUGAAAUUUGUUCACUUUGGUCUCAGACACCUUCCCUCCAAAAAGUGUUCUUCUGGCGCGUUGCAAAAGUGGUUUAAAACCUCGGACAAAAGGUGCUUGGAAACCACACUGUCACCUCAUGCCAAAAACAGUUCCAUAACAUUUGCGGCUAAGUACUGCUGAGGUGACCGGGGACCCAUGAAGUCCACAUGCUGAAAUUAGUUCCAUAGCGGUCACAGCAAAGUACAGAGGAGGACCAUUCAUGGGUUUGAAAAGCUGGUAGAUUUUGGUUCAACGGCUGCCAGGGAGCUAGCAUUCGAUCGAAUGAAAGGAAACUGCUGAACCAGGGGCACCCAGGGAAAACUGUUAAUGGUGGCUGGGCAAGGUAAUUCCCGAAUGGUGUCUCAGACCUGGACCAUAGUGUGUUGGCAAGAGGCCAGCUUCCACAGUCCUCCAGGAGUUUGUGGCAGGCGUUUGUGGGAAGGAGCAUUUGUCACAGUAUAAUCCUGCUGAAAGAGGUCAUUUCCAUUGGGGUACACCUUUGCCAUAAAGGGUUAGCAUAGUCUGCAACAAUCUCUAGGUAAGUGGUAAGUGUCAAAGUAACAUCCACUAGAAUGACAAUAUCCAAGAUUUCCCAGCAGAACAUUGCCCAGAGCAUAAUAAUGCUCCAGCCAGCCUUCUUCCCCUGGUGCAUCCUGCUGCCAUUUCUUCUAUCCACCAGAUCUAAAAGAAAAUGUGAUUAAUCAAUCUUCUUUCUUUACUUCAUGUUCCAGUUCUGAAAUUGCAAUGUCCCCAUUGGAGGUGCUUUUGUGCACUCUGAUCCAUCUGCAGCUACGCAGCCCAAAAUAUAGCAAACUGAGACACAUUUGUAUCAUGGCCAACAUUAGGUUUUUCAACAAUUUGACCUACCAUAGCUCGAGUUCUUCUGUUUGAUGGGCCAAUAUGGGCUAGCAUUCGCUGCCCACAUGCAUCAAUAAGCCUUGGGUGGCCAUGAACCUGCCGCCAGUUCACCAGUUAUCCUUCCUUGCACCACAUUUGGUACGUACUAACCAUUGCAUAGCGGGAACACACCACAAGACUUUCUAUUUUGGAGAUGACCCAGUCAUCUAGCCAUUACUAUUUGGCCCUUAUCAAAAUUACUCAGAUUGUUUCACUUUCCCAUUUUUCCUGCUACUAGCAUAUGAAAUUCAAGAACUGACUGUUAACCUGCUACCCAUUGACAGAUGCCAUAGUAACAAUAUAAUUAAUGCUAUUCACUUCACCUGUCAGUAAUUUAAAAAUUGUGGCUGAUCAGUGUAUCAAUGCCAAUAAUUAUAAUACUCUUAAGUUGGACUACGAAUGCUUGUGCUUAGAUGAUGCCCAAAAGCAUUUGGUUUCAUCAGAGGGCAAAUCACAGUACCGUGCAUUGCUUAUAUUUUAACAUUUCAAAGGUACUUAUUUACAAAUACUGAUUUCUAAAAAAUUAUAAUACAAUUUAAAGAUAGAUUAUUGUGUAUUGGUUAUUCACGGAUAUGCUCUUACAAUUAUUAUUUAUAUAAAACUGAGGGACAUUAGGAUAGAAAAGACUAACAGAAGAAUUUGGAAUUAGACACAAAAUAGUGACUCUGUUUAAUUGUUUGGAUAAGCUUUUCAAAUCAGUUAAUAUUUUUUAAUACAUUUUUAAAUUCGUUCUUUUUUCUAAAUAAUAAAAUAUCAAAUAUACUGUACCAAGUAUUUUCUUAUUAUACCAUCUGUUUUGUUAAUAAAUCAGGCCACAUAAAUCAUUGUGCGAAUCAGUGUUGUGGGAACUCUAAACAUUACUUGAAUUUUGUCAAACUAGUUGAUACAGAACUUCUAUACAGAAUGUUAUUGUACACAUUUAAAAAUAGUUUAUGGGAAAAAAAAGAAACUUCUAUAAUUCUAAACUGUUCUGAAGAGCGAGUCUAGUGAGUAAGUAUUAUUGGAAAAGUCUCAGCUUAAUAGAAGUAGCAUUUGGAAUUCCUCUGGGUUCUGUCCUGACUCUACAUCACUGUAAUCUGUUUAUGAAUGUUGUUGCGAGGAUCAUUGAAUGUCACUGUUUACAGCUGAUACUUGUUGUGCAGAGAAUUUACACUAGGCGCACUGUACAUAUGGUUCCUUAGCAGUUUUCUAUUGACACACACAACUAAUCAGCACUUACCAGUGAGGAGUACUAGAUUAGGAACAUGCUCGCAGGCAUAGUAUCUCACAGCCACUUCAACUUAACAAAAGGGGAUGAGAAACAUGUUAGAAAAAAAAGCACCCUGGCAUGAAUUAAACAUUGAGGAAUCAGAGUUGGUUAAUUAAAGGUGGGGGUCUAGUUGAGACUGCGAUAACAAGAUGGUUAAACCAGCUAUGUGGACAUAGUCUUUAAAGUUAACCCUUACAACAUUGAGAUAGUUAAGGUCAAACAGUGUACAAUUGGGGUUGAAUAAAUAUGGGCAUCUGGCAAGCAAGUGGCAAAAAAAAAUCUAAAACUAUGUAUUUUGGGAAAGAAAUUAGCAUUCAACUUAAAUUCUGAACAUUGAAAAAUGCAAAAUGUGAGCCGGUGGUUUCAAAGGCCAAAAUGCAUCAUCAUGCUUAAAAUGGAAUAUUAAUUUAUGACAUGAAAAUUGUAAUUUUGCUUUUUAUAAGAUUUAUGAUGAGACCACAUUGUGAACAUAAGUUGCAAUUUUGGAGAAACCGGUUUGAUGAGAAGUACAUUAUCAAAUCAGGAAAUGUACAGUGGUAGACUACUAAAUAAUUAAAAUAAUGAUGGUUGAAAGACUAGAAACUUUUGUGCUAGUUUUAUCAAAUAUAAUAGAUUAUUUUUAAAGCUGUCUCUGUUUUUGUGUCAAUUUUCUGAUAAAACUGGGGAUAUGGGGAGGUAAUAGGUAAUUCUGACAUUAUCAAUAAUAGAUAGCCAUGCUCUCUCCUGGUGCAUCUUUCAGCUCAUCUAGCGCUCUCUUAGUGUUUCUUUCUUUGGCUCUGUCUCUUCCUCCCAACCUCUCUCUGUUGGUGUCCCCCAAGGUUCAGUCCUUUGUCCCCUACUGUUCUCAAAGUAUACUGCCUCCCUUGGUAAACUCAUCAGUUCCUUUGGCUUCCAAUAUCACUUCUAUGUGGAUGACACGCAAAUCUAUCUGUCCACCCCUGAUCUCUCCCCGCCCCUCUUGACUAGUGUCUCUGAUUGCCUCUCUGCUAUUUUUAACUGGAUGGCUGCCCACUUCCUUAAACUCAACUUGUCCAAAACAGAACUUCUAGUCUUUCCUCCCUCAAGUGUUGCUACUCCCAUCUCUGUCUCCCUCCACGUUAAUGGUGCUACCAUCAGCUCCACCAUGCAGGCUCGCUGCCUAAGUGUUCUCUUUGACUCCAACCUCUCCUUCACCCUCAUGUCCAGUCGAUCGCCAAAUUCCAUCUCAAAAACAUUGCUCGUAUCUGCCCCUACUUAACGCCAAAUGCGGCUAAGCUGCUGGUCCAUGCUACUGUCCUCUCUCACCUUGACUACUGCAAUUGGCUUCUCAGUGGUCUUACAUGCUUCCAACUUACCUCAUUGUAGUCUAUAAUAAAUGCGGUGGAAAGGCUCAUCUUCCUGUCUGCCCGCUCCUCCCAUAUCUUACCCAUCUGUCAGUCCCUGCUUUGGCUUUCCGUAAGAUAUAGGGCUCAAUAUAAAAUUCUGGUUCUUUCUUUCAAAUCUCUACAUAAUGCUGCUCCCACCUAUCUAUCCUCCCUUAUACACAAGUAGGUCCCAUUUAGGCCUUUACACUCUGCUGAAGACUUACGUCUAUCUUCUGUCCGUACUCCCACCUCUGAUGCUCGCCUUCAAGACUUCUCGAGAGCUGCACCGUUCCUGUGGAACUCACUUCCCUCCUCCGUUAGAUGCUCACUCAGUCUCCACUCCUUCAAAAAAAAUCAUUAAAAACUCACUUUUUCACAAAAGCAUAUCAAUUAAACUGUUAAUGACUCAAAAAAAAAAACCUACACUAAGUCUUCAUUGAAUACUAUUCUACCAAUCUACUUCUCUAAUACUUCCCUUACCUUUUGUGUCACUUUACCCUACUCCCUCUAGCAUGUAAGCUCAUUGAGCAGGGCCCUCAACCCCUCUGUUUCUGUGCGUCAAACUUGUCUGGAUACAAUUACAUGUUUGUUAGUCCAUCCGUUGUAAAGCGCUAUGGAAUUUGUUGGUGCUAUAUAAAUAUAAUAAUAAUAAUAAGAGGAAAAUCGGAUUUUGGAGUCAGGAAGGAUUGUCCUCCUUUUAGUGUACACGUGGAAAAUGAUUAUUAUUAUACAUAGGGUUUAUAAAUAAAAGGUAACAUUACUAUUUAAUCAGGUUACAAAGAGUGGGAUCACGAGGAGCUAGGAUCUAAGAUGCUUCAGAGUCAAUAAACACCACACCAUCAAUGUCACUCAACAAGAACUCGUACUCCAAAAAUUAAUCAUCCCUAAGCCCAGAACUUCAUGGGGAUUAAUCCUAAUUGUAAAACCCCCAACACUAAAUCAUAUUCCUAAUCCAAAACAAAAGGCAUUAAGUGAAGUAAAAUAUUGUAACACACAAUAUUACUAAAUAUUAGUUAAAUCACAUAAUAAUGGACCAAAAAUAGUUUAUAAAAUUAGUGGUGCUAAAGUAAAGCAUGCAAUCUGAUGGGCACCACACAUUUAAUGCCAUUGUAUAUUGUUAUAGUGAGUAUAGUUAUAUAUAAAGAUAUAUUUACAUACAGAGAUAAAAAUUUACUGCUUUUUCAACUCUGAUUUUUAAAUGUAAUGCCUUUUUGGUUGCGUGUUUGCUCAAAGUACCACCUUCUCACCUAAAUCCAGUUCCUUACAGGUAAUGCUCCCAAGUACUGGGUCGUCUGGGUAUGAUCUGAAUGAAAGCUGAAACUACUUGUUUCAGUUGCACCUGUCUUUUUAUCUCAACGUUGUUACGUAAAGCAUAGUGUUGUAUUUUGGUAUACAGGUAUACUGAGCAAUGCUAUAUGGUGGUCGAAUCCAGGAGGUAAUGUAACCUCCACACAAUUCAAAAUAGGGUACUGUGGAAAAGUGACACAAGGCACCAUAUUUCUUGCCAUUAGGCACAACGUUUCGGCCUAGGUGGCAUUAACCAUGUACAUAGAACACAGGUAACGCAAUGCUUUUUUAAGAUAAAGUAAGCUAUUACCCCACAUAUUAACUAUUUAUAUCCUUGAAUAUUCUACUUUUCUAAAAAAGAAAAGCAUCCAGACAAUGUUUAACCACAUUAACAGAAUCUGAUAAAACAAGCUCUUUACACUAAAUAUUACAUACCUUUAUUGUUCUUGUUCUUUCCUCUACUGUAUGUGUUUUUAUUAAAGUUUAAAUAGGUGCUUUGGACAGGCUUAUUAAUGAUGGUUACCAUAGAGCUGUUUGUACUGGCCCUCUAUAUAUUUGUUAAAUGUUAUCAAAUCCUAUCUUUUUAGAUCUGAAAAAUUGCAAUGUGUAAAAAGAGAUUAAAUAUAUUUUGUCCAGUGAAAUAAUACCCCUUUUUAUGCAUAACAAUACCUUGCUGGUCUCAGCAACUGCUACCUAAGAUUUCAUAUUGUUUAGUCUAUUGUUCUAUAAAUAUUCCCAAUAUAUAAGUGUAUAACACAGAGUCUGUAAGCUACACACAUUGAUUGAGAGCAUCAUUGUAUUAGUGGAUUAGAUUCAGAUAAAGGAUUCUCUGUAAUUAAAAACUCUGUAUGGGUAAUACUUGAUGUUUUAAAGUACUGAAAUGGUCUAAUUUAUAUCUGUAAUUAGAAAAAGGUUUGGGAGGGAAACAGGUGUACAUGGUAUUACUGUACACCGCACUGUGCUCAUUUUCAUAGCGUGGGUGGACAUUUUCUUCUGUGGACAGGAGGUGCUGGUUUAGGAGAAUGACCUGAACCUCUGUGGAAGCCAACAGUGAAGUUGAAAUUCUAAAUAUAGAAAAUGCAUUAUGUGUAAAACUGGUAGCAUUUCAGUAAUGUUUUACCGAGGUUGAGCACUUGGCAUUACUUAUUGUAAGGGGAGGAGGUGGAGUGUCAUGUUGAACUAUCAAAGACGUUGCCAAGAUCUUAAAGAUCACUUGAUGUGUCAUUACAGUGUUGUCACGUACAUUGAAUUAAUGAAGCUGAAACGAAGGACUAUUUUAGCAAGUCAAAUCACGUCUGUCCCUGCUAGGAAUGAGCUAUUUACUUGGUUCGCAUGUGUAACACACAAUAGCUUUGGAGAACCAACAAUCCAUCCCAGAAAUUUUUUGCUCAUACAAACAAAAGAGAAAAAAACGAUACCUCAUGAUAAUGAUUUUGUAAUAUAAAUACAUUUUAUUUCCUACAAUGAAUCUAGACUGAAUGUUUUGUCAGGGGUCUGUUUAUUUAAGGGUUGAUGUGCACAUUGGAAGUCAGCUUUGGAUAUAAACUUGGCAUUGUUUACUUUUGCUCCUAUUUCUUUUAGUAAUUAUUAUUUUAUUAUUAUUAUUAUUACUGGUAUUUAUAUGGUGCCAGCAUAUUCCAUAGUGCUUUACAAUAUUAUCAAAGGGGGAGAUUUAACAAUAAAUGAGACAAUUACAAAAACUUACAGGAACAAUAGGUUGAAGAGGAUCCUGCUCAAACGAGCAUACAAUCUAUAGGAGGUGGGGCGUAAAACACAACAGGGCAGGAGGUAGCAAUCAAACAAGGUGGAGUGAAGCAGAGCUGGAAGAGAGAAUAGAGUGCUGCCCUUUAGGAGAGCGCAAGGGACAGGUAUGUGAGGUAGAAGUUACUCUGGGAGGCCAUACGCAUUCCUAAAGAGAUGGGUUUUGAGGCACUUUUUAAAUGAUUGAAGACUAGGGCAGAGCUUGGUCGUAGGCCAGCUAUUCCAAAGGAAAGGAACCAGGAGAAGGUCAUGGGCAGAGCGGAGGGACCAAGAAGGGGAUCAGUGAAGAAAUAUAGGAGGGGCUAGAAUUGGUCAGUGCUUUAUAGGUGUGGAUUAGUAUAGGAUGCAGGAAGCCAAUGUAAGGACUGACAGAGGGGAGAGGUAUGAGAGGAGCGACAGGAGAGGAAAAUCAGUCUAGCUGCAGCAUUCAUUACAGAUUGUAGUGGGUGGGGCGGAUGCGGGCUAUGUUUUUAAGGUGGAAUCUACAGGAUUUGGUACAGACUGGAUGUGAGGCUCAAAUGUGAGGCCAGAAUAAAGUAUAACACCAAGACAGCAUGCUUGCAAGGAUGGAUUGAUGUGAGUAGCACUAACUUGAAGGGAGAGUGAAGGAGGAGGAUCAGCAUUAGGAGGAGGAAAGACAAGGAGUUCAGUUUUAGAGAGAUUGUGUUUCAAAAAGCAGGAGGCCAUCAGUAGCCUGGUAAAAAGUCUGAUGGGUAGGAAAGGCAUUAUCCAAGUGUGGUUGAGAAAUAGAGGGGCAAGGUGGUGAGAAUUCUUUCCUUAGCUGUUCAGUCUUGUCUGUAAAGGAGCAUGCAAAGCUAUCGGCUGUAAGGUUAGUUUGGGGGAUGGCAACAGCAGGGCAAAGAAGGGAGUUAAAGGUAUUAAAAAGAUGCCUGGGAUUGUGGGAGCAUGAGCUAAUGAGGGAGGAAAAGUAUGACUGUUUGGCAAGGGCUGUAUGAACGCAACAUGAAUUUGUAGUGGAGGAAGUCCGACUGGGUGCGUGACUUCUUCCAGCAGCAUUCAGCAGAACAGAAGCAUCUCUCCAGAUUGCGUGUUGAUUUAGUGUGCCACGGUUAUUUUCCCCCUCUCUUCAAGGUGCAUGCUUGGAAUGGGGCUACAGAAUCCAGGGCAGAGGUAAGGGUAGUGUUAUAUGAGGAGGUAGCCAGUGAGGGACAGGAGAAAGUAGGGAUGGAUAGAAGUUGGGAAUCAAUAUUAACUGAUAGCUGCUGGUGGUCAAUAUAAUUCAUAUUUCUUCUUAGUUUAGGAGGGGUCAGGUUGAGGAUGAUGGGAUAAGGGGCUAUAAAGAGCAAAUUAUGAGGUGGUGAUCUGAGAGAGGAAAUGGAGUGUUGCAGAGAUUAGAGAUUGUACAUUGUUGAGGGGGAAAAUAAGAUCAAGGGUAUUGCCAGCUACAUGGGUGGGGGACUUAGCCCACUGCGAUAGCCCAAGGGAGGAGGUCAUUGAGAGUAGUUUUGAAGCUACUGAGGACAAGGGCAGGUUAAUGGGAAUGUUGAAGUCCCCAAGAAUUAGGGAUGGAAUAUUAGAGGAGAUGAGGUAGAGAAGCCAAGCAGCAAAGUGGUCAAGGAAGAGGAGAGGGGAACCAGUGGGACAAUAGAUAACAGCUGUGACGAAGUGCCCUUCGCCACUUGUGCCUGGAGAGGACUGCUUGCCCGCCUCUUGCCCUGUGACUAUGGCCCCUGGGAUGUAUUGCCCUUUAAAGACAUGAUUUGGGCAUAAUGCAUUUGUGUUGUGCUGCUGCUGGCCCUUUAAGAACCAUCUGGGGACAUACUGUGGAGUUACUGGGUGGCCACCAUUUCCUGUAUCAGAAGCACAUGGUGAGAACAAUGGAUGGUGGCCAUUUUAACUCUCAGAUACUGUUUGGACUUUUCAACACGGUGCCAUCUUGCCAGUAUUUGGUGCACAGAGACAUCGUGCAGUGGUUUUGGACUAUACAGCAGGGGACACAUUAUAAAGUGAUUGUUUUUCAUUUAGCCUGUAUAUAUUCUGCAGAAUCUGCAUUAAACUCUAUUUUCCAAAGUACUGAACGGAUCUGGGUGAAUUUUGGAUAUGUGGUUCACCCAGAUCCCCCGGUUCCAAGGAUAUACUUUUUAUGGGGUUAUUGCAUGUUUUGGGGUCCCUGUGUGUUUUAUGAAACUGUAUUAUUUCUGACCAGCAGAUAAUUGAGUUUUGUGUAUUGUAGAAACUCAAUUAUCUAGCCUGGCCCAGAGGAGGAGUUUUGUGUUGCAUAAAUUGUGAGUUCUGUGUGCCAGUAAAUCAGUCUUGUUCCAGCAUUAAGCCUUGGCUCAUGUUUGGGGGAAGGGAUACCUACACUCUGGGGAUUGCUAUAAUCACUUACUCCCAGAGGAAGCUCUUGCAAUAGCUUGAUUUGUUCCUGUUCCUGCUCUCUGGGGAAAGAGAGGUUCACCCACUGGAAGCUGGAUCCUGGCCUUGGGUCCAGGGUGGGUGGAAACAGCAGAGACCCCGGCGCAGUUGCAUCGCUGGAAGUGGGGUCUGCAGUGCUGAUGGUGUCAGUUGGAGUGCUUGGAGUCCACAGCGAGCACUAGGAGCAUCUAUUGGCGGAGGUACUCAGUCGGAGUGCCAGCGUUCCGUCACAACAGCAAUGUUAGAGAUGGGUUUGAACAGGUGAAUUGAAUGAAUUUCAAAUGAUGAGAAAGAGAGGGAAGGGGGUGGGUAGAGGUUUGAAGGAGCAGUGAGGUGAAAGCAGAAACCCUACCACCUUUGCUUUCAGAGUGUCUUGGGUUGUGGGAAAAUUGAAGACCACCAAAGGAUAGAGAGGCAGGGGUAGCAAUGUCAAAUGGAGAGAGCCAUGUUUCAGUUAAGGCUAGUAAAUCUAGGGAACGAGAGAUUAAAAGGUUGUGCACAGCAGUCUAUUUAGUAACAUUGCAAACAGAGCUGGCAUUCCAGAGGGCAGAAUGGAAGGAGGAUUUAAAGGAAGAGUAGCAUGAGAUGGGUAUAAGAUUAUUGUGAUUCCUGGCAUUAGCACAUGGUGGGUUAGCGGAGGUGGGACCGGGAUUUGGAGAGACCUCACCAGCUGCUAGGAGCAGAAGGGUAGAAAGUAAGAGAAGGUGGGAGUAGUAUUUAAAUGUUUUGUGAGAGGGUUUGUAUUUAGAGGUUUUAGAAAGGGUUGGUGGAGAUAGGCUGGAAAGGUAUAAGUAGAGUGCAUGGCAUGAAAAGAGAGGGGAGGGAAGUAAAGGGGGAGCAAUGAAAAUGGUGUCAGCAGGGACAGGUGAGCAGAGGAAUAAAGAGAUUUAGCUAAUUAGAGAGGUGAGAGUGAAAGUAAAGAAUACAGGGAGUGCAGAAUUAUUAGACAAAUGAGUAUUUUGACCACAUCAUCCUCUUUAUGCAUGUUGUCUUACUCCAAGCUGUAUAGGCUCGAAAGCCUACUACCAAUUAAGCAUAUUAGGUGAUGUGCAUCUCUGUAAUGAGAAGGGGUGUGGUCUAAUGACAUCAACACCCUAUAUCAGGUGUGCAUAAUUAUUAGGCAACUUCCUUUCCUUUGGCAAAAUGGGUCAAAAGAAGGACUUGACAGGCUCAGAAAAGUCAAAAAUAGUGAGAUAUCUUGCAGAGGGAUGCAGCACUCUUAAAAUUGCAAAACUUCUGAAGCGUGAUCAUCGAACAAUCAAGCGUUUCAUUCAAAAUAGUCAACAGGGUUGCAAGAAGCGUGUGGAAAAACCAAGGCGCAAAAUAACUGCCCAUGAACUGAGAAAAGUCAAGCAUGCAGCUGCCACGAUGCCACUUGCCACCAGUUUGGCCAUAUUUCAGAGCUGCAACAUCACUGGAGUGCCCUAAAGCACAAGGUGUGCAAUACUCAGAGACAUGGCCAAGGUAAGAAAGGCUGAAAGACGACCACCACUGAACAAGACUCACAAGCUGAAACGUCAAGACUGGGCCAAGAAAUAUCUCAAGACUGAUUUUUCUAAGGCUUUAUGGAUUGAUGAAAUGAGAGUGAGUCUUGAUGGGCCAGAUGGAUGGGCCCGUGGCUGCAUUGGUAAAGGGCAGAGAGCUCCAGUCCGACUCAGACGCCAGCAAGGUGGAGGUGGAGUACUGGUUUGGGCUGGUAUCAUCAAAGAUGAGCUUGUAGGGCCUUUUCGGGUUGAGGAUGGAGUCAAGCUCAACUCCCAGUCCUACUGCCAGUUCCUGGAAGACACCUUCUUCAAGCAGUGGUACAGGAAGAAGUCUGCAUCCUUCAAGAAAAACAUGAUUUUCAUGCAGGACAAUGCUCCAUCACAAGCGUCCAAGUACUCCACAGCAUGGCUGGCAAGAAAGGGUAUAAAAGAAGAAAAUCUAAUGACAUGGCCUCCUUGUUCACCUGAUCUGAACCCCAUUGAGAACCUGUGGUCCAUCAUCAAAUGUGAGAUUUACAAGGAGGGAAAACAGUACACCUCUCUGAACAGUGUCUGGGAGGCUGUGGUUGCUGCUGCACGCAAUGUUGAUGGUGAACAAAUCAAAACACUGACAGAAUCCAUGGAUGGCAGGCUUUUGAGUGUCCUUGCAAAGAAAGGUGGCUAUAUUGGUCACUGAUUUGUUUUUGUUUUGUUUUUGAAUGUCAGAAAUGUAUAUUUGUGAAUGUUGAGAUGUUAUAUUGGUUUCACUGGUAAUAAUAAAUAAUUGAAAUGGGUAUAUAUUUGUUUUUUGUUAAGUUGCCUAAUAAUUAUGCACAGUAAUAGUCACCUGCACACACAGAUAUCCCCCUAACAUAGCUAUAACUAAAAACAAACUAAAAACUACUUCCAAAAAUAUUCAGCUUUGAUAUUAAUUAGUUUUUUGGGUUCAUUGAGAACAUGGUUGUUGUUCAAUAAUAAAAUUAAUCCUCAAAAAUACAACUUGCCUAAUAAUUCUGCACUCCCUGUAUAAGGGAGAGCAUUCUCUAAUGAGACUAAAGGAGUUUAUAUUAUAAAGAAGGAAAAUUAGGAUUUUUAGUUUUGCAGAAUUAGAGGAGAUGGGAUAUUAAAGUCACAUGAGAGAUUAAAGGGGUCAGGGGUUGCAGGUAGAGAGUGUGAUAGUUGAGCAGGUGAUAAGGGUUUGAGAGACAUAAUUAGUGUGUUUGGAAAGUCAGGUAAUUUAUGCUAUCUAUAAAUGUAGUGAGUUCCUUGGGGUGGGCGGGAAGCCACCCAAAAGAGCAACCUCUGCUUAAGGCUGUAGCUUGUCUUGGUAGCUGUGAGUUCUGGGAGAUAAUAUUCUGUUUGGGACCCAGGCUCUGCUUAAGGCUGUAGCUUGUCUUGGUAGCUGUGAGUUCUGGGAGCUAAAGUUCUGUUUGGGACCCAGGUUCUGCUUAAGGCUGUAGCUUGUCUUGGUAGCUGCUUGUCUUGGUAGCUGUGAGUUCUGGGAGCUAAUGUUCUGUUUGGGACCCAGGCUCUGCUUAAGGCUGUAGCUUGUCUUGGUAGCUGUGAGUCCUGCGAGCUAAUGUUCUGUUUGGGACCCAGGCUGCAAGAACGGAUCUGAGUUAGAUUAAACAGAAAAUUAAGGGUUGGGAAGACACAGAUAUUGAGGUGAGAAAUGGAAGUUAAUAAGAAAAGAAUAUUAAGAACAGAGGAGAAAGUAUUUGUGAUUUAAAUAUAUAAGGGUAGGUCAUAAAUAAAUGGUUAACAUAAAUUUACAUGACUAUUAGCACAAUAACUCUAAAGUAACAAAAAUAGGGCUAGGUCAUAAAUGGUGGACAUUAAUUGACAAGACUAUCAGCACAAUACUAACCAAAUAAACAAUUAUCAAAACAAGGGUUGAGUAUGAAGGGUACAAAGUUAACAAUUAAGAAGUAAUAUUGUAGGGGAGAGAAGUAAAAAAGAGAAACUAAGAAAUAGAAGAAUAAAAUAAAAUAAGUGCUGCAGGUAUGCUUACCAUCCAAAAGAGCUACCUCUGCUUAAGGCUGUAGCUUGUCUUGGUAGCUGUGAGUUCAGGUGUCACAGGUGCUGCUCCAGAGACCGGGACCCCUGUAUGCUGCUUGAUGGUAGGAGUCACAGCGUGGAAAUGGACUAUCAGGGCCCGGUGCUGGAUAAUAUGCAGACCUCCCAGGAUCUGGAUAGGGAUGCUCUGCAGCAGAAAUGUAUCCAGUACUAGAAACAAGGCAAGACUAGAAUAGGCACCAAACAAGAUAACAAGACAAGACUAGAAGAACCCAGAACUGGAGAAGGACAGAAAGCAGAACCCAGAACAUGUACACAAUACAUGAUGGAAAUGUAGACAGGACAGGACUGUACAUGAACUCAAGGCCAUCUAUAAUAUGAAUAGGAUCCUGGGCAACGAAUUUUGUUGGGCCCCUGGGGCCCUGCAGCCCUCCCAAUCCACCCUUGCCCCCAAUUACGCCCAACCCCCAAUCACACUGACAUGCUGACACAUACACACACAGACAGACAUAUUAAAACAUUCACAGAUAUAUACUAACACACACAUAAACUGACACACAAAUAUAUACUGGCAGACAUAUUGACACACAUUCAGACAUACUGACACACACAUACAUACACACACAGACGCAUACACUGACAAACAUACUGACACACACAGACGCAUACACUGAGAGAAGUAUUGACACACACAGACAUGCUGACACACACAGGCACACACAGGCAUACUGAUAUACACACACUGACACACAGACAGACAUACUGACAGACACACAGACAGACAUACUGACACACACACAAACAUACUGACAAACACACAGACAUACUGACACACACACAGACAUAAUGACACACACACACAGACAGAUAUUUGACACACACACAGAGACAGAUAUUUGACACACACACAGAGACAGUGUGUAUACACACACUGACACACAGACAGACAUACUGACAGACACACAGACAGACAUACUGACACACACACAAACAUACUGACAAACACACAGACAUACUGACACACACACAGACAUAAUGACACACACACACAGACAGAUAUUUGACACACACACAGAGACAGAUAUUUGACACACACACAGAGACAGUGUGUAUACACACACUGACACACAGACAGACAUACUGACAGACACACAGACAGACAUACUGACACACACACAGGCAUACUGACAUACACACAGACAGACAUACUGACAUACACACAGACAUACUGACACACACACAGACACACAUACACUGACAGACAUACUGACAUACACACAGACAUACUGACACACACACAGACACACACACAGACACACAUACACUGACAGACUAUUGACACACACACAGGCAUACUGACAUAACACACAGACAGACACACUGACACACACACUCACAGACAUACUGACACACACAGGCAUACUGACAUAACACACAGACAGAUAUACUGUCUGACACACUCACAGACAUACUGACACACACAGACAUACUGACAUACAUUUAGCCACCCUCCAACCACCCUUACCUUUUCUGGAGAGUGGUUUCUCUGGGGUCCAGUGGCAGGCUGAGGCAGUUGGGAGUUCUACUCUGAAACUCCCCUCCUCCCUGCUUUCCUCCUCCCGCGCGGCUCUGAUCUCCGGUAGGAGGAAGUGACGCGCGACUCUCACUUCCUCCCAGCUGGCUGCCAAACAGGAAGGGGCCCGGUGGCGCUGUUUAAGCGUCACAGCGCCCGACCGGGCCCCAGCUGACAAAUGCCCACCGGGUGGCCCUUAGUGCAUGGGCCACCCGGGGGACAGAGCCGCACCGCCGGAUCCAAGGGGGGCUGCGCAAAUCGCGGGGCCCGCAGGGCAGCUGCUCUGGGGCCCCCCAGGAGCAGCUGGGCCCGGGGCAGCUGCCCCGUUUGCCCCGCGCUAAAGACGGCCCUGCAUGAACUGGGAAUACAAGAGAAAACAGGACAAGAGAUACAAGGCAAAACAAGAGGAGACAUAACUAAGCACCAUAUAUGUAACAGACAUUAGAGAUUUAGACAUACAUAAAGGGCCGAGAUGUAUGCAGCCCACCACUGCGCCAAAGUACUCAAAUUAUGGUGGGUACUAACUGCCUAGACAUGCAUGACUAAAUAAACAACAACAAAACACACACAGUACUUUCCUGCAAAGAAAGAUGCAGUGGAAAUGAGACCACUGCUUGUAGGAACAGACUGAAACAAAAAGGACUAAUGGCAAAGGAACGGGUGUGGCAACAAAUAACAAACAUUUAAAAGAAUCCAGGAGACUGGGAAUUCCAGGAACGGAAUAAAGGAAUGAACCCGGAAAACCCAGCAUAAAGAAAACCAGACAUAGAAUAGAAAACCAGAAAAAAGAAAGAAAAACUAAACAAGAAUAGUAAAAAGAGUACUGGAUAUCAGAAGCCAAGAGAGAAAUGUGAUGUGACACUUGGUAGUUAAUGUUCUGCUUGGGACCCAGGCUCUGCUUAAGGCUGUAGCUGGUUUUGGUAGCUGUAAGUCCUGGGAGCUAAUGUUCUGUUUGGGACCCAGACUCUGCUUAAAGCUGUAGCUUGUUUUGGUAACUGUGAGUCCUGGGAGCUAAUGUUGUUUGGGACCCAGACUCUGCUUAAAGCUGUAGCUUGUUUUGGUAGCUGUGAGUCCUGGGAGCUAAUGUUCUGUUUGGGACCCAGACUCUGCUUAAAGCUGUAGCUUGUUUUGGUAGCUGUGAGUCCUGGGAGCUAAUGUUCUGUUUGGGACCCAGACACUGCUUAAAGCUGUAGCUUGUUUUGGUAGCUGUGAGUCCUGGGAGCUAAUGUUCUGUUUGGGACCCAGGCUCUGCUUAAGGCUGUAGCUUGUUUUGGUAGCUGUUAGUUCUGGGAGCUAAUGUUCUGUUUGGGACCCAGGCUCUGCUUACGGCUGUAGCUUGUUUUGGUAGCUGUUAGUUCUGGGAGCUAAUGUUCUGUUUGGGACCCAGGCUCUGCUUAAGGCUGUAGCUUGUUUUGGUAGCUGUGAGUCCUGGGAGCUAAUGUUCCGUUUGGGACCCAGGCUGCAAGAAAGUUAAAGGAUGCUUUGCAAACUAAAAUGGUUAAACAUAUAGGCCAUAAAGUUAUUAUUGUGAGAUUUUCUGAUAAUGAAAACGACAUUAAUCUAAUGAUUCAAUAUUAUGCUAUACCAAUGAUUUAAUCAAAGUUGCAUUCUGGUCAAUGUCGUAGAAUAAAUAUGCCAUCAAUGUUAUGUGGGUAGUUAAUCCAGCUCUUUAAUUGUAUGUUUAGGCAUUUUCUACUGAAACUGCCACUGCACAGAACAUUUUUAGAUAAAGCCAAAGGAUAAAGAUGUCAUGGUUUCAGUAACAAAGAAUGACAUUAUGUAUAUUUAAAAAUGUAUGAAUGUGACGUAAAUACAUAGCUUUUUCCUUCAUAAUCUCUGGAUUACCAUCAUGGUGGAGAGAUUCAAUUUCGCCAAAAUAUUUAUAUCUGCCUACAGACAGAUAUGAAAUACAGGAUUCACACAGCUUCUAUGUGAUUGUUUUUGGAUUGUGCCAUGACACUGGUUGAAGUUAUGAAAGUUCUAUCAGGAAAUGUGAGACCUAGGUUGGACAUCCUUGGUAUUGAAUGACCUUACAGUGAGAUAAUGCUCUGAAUUCCUGACAUGAAGAAACAUCACCUCAUGCUGUAAUUCAUGCAUGCUGUAAAGCAGGGGUCCUCGAACUCCCGCCCCCAGAUGUUGCUGAACUACAACUCCCAUGAUCCUCUGGCUAUCUAUGUAAUUCAAAGAAUCAUGGGAGUUGUAGUUCAGCAACAUCUAGGGGGCCAAAAUUUGAGGACCCCUGCUGUAAAGCAAGAACAAAAACCAGUUUGAUCUUCUAUUAAUUAACCCCAUAAAAACUCAAGACAUUGAGGCAUUGAUUUAAUAAGCUUUGCAAACAGAUUUGAAUCAUUUGGAAAGCUAAUUAAAUCGAGGCCCAAAUUGUUUAUGUCAGAUGAGAUUAAAUAAUACAAUUUACAGUACAUUCUCAGUUUAUCCAAUGAUCAGUUUAUCCACAGACCAUGUACAAAAAUUAAAUUUAAUGCAACAUGAACAUUGAAGCUCAGUUGAGCAACGAUCACAAAUUUAUAAUUGGCAGACAUAUUUAUAGUCAAGAUUUGUCCUUUAGUCCUUGGCAUUUUAUUUUACAUAUCUUUAUACAAAGGAUGAGGCUUAGGUGUUAAUGAGAGCGGUGCAGUCAUUUUAAUGAAAAAUGUAUAUUUAGAUGAACCUCAAGACACGCAUCUAUAUUUUUUUUACACAAUAAUGUGAUAGGUUGAUUGUUUUGGUACCCACCUAUAUGUUACCUAGUUAUUUAUGACUUGAAAAAGAAACUUUGGUGUGGAAACAUUGUUUUUGAUAACUGAAUAAAACUACCAUUGGAUCAUGUAUUGUCAAGCGCUGGGGUGUUUCUCCUUCUUUUUUUUUUUUUUUACGAUUUUCUAGUCCUUUUCUAGAAUGUAAUAAUAGAUACAAGCUCAAAAAAGUGAGUUUGUAUCUAUUAUUAAAUUCUAUAUCUAUUUAAGGACAGUACUUCUAAUCAGGGAUUUCCCCCCUGUUAUUUAGUCCUUAUUACAGGGAUGGCUUUUAAAGUAUUUUUUAAUUUUACAAGAGUUUUAAUAAAAGUUAAGUGUUGUAUGUGGGUUACUUCGCCAUGGUAAAGGCUUUUAUCUGCAUCUCCCUUUCCUCGUUCAAGUGUUGAUUAUUAGUAUUACUAUCAGGGGUUACCCCCAAUUUUCCAAGAAGUAACCUGGCACGCUCUCCCUUAUAUGUCUUUGCUUAAAGUAUCUUUCAAUAUGGGGAUUUAGUUCCACCAUAUGACCAGAUCGUGUUGAGCCCAUCACUAUGCCACUGUAUCCUGAUAUCAGUGGAUUCUACACUAAUUUCAUCAUGGAAUAUUGACAUGCUAACUGCAAUACUUACUUCUUAAACUUCUUCCAGAGACUAUACUCAAAUGUGUGCUGUCCUGUGUAGAAUUAUAUAAAAUGAUCUGCCAUUGACCUAUUAUUGUGAGAUUGCAUUGUGACUCAUAUAAUUGUUCAAUAGUAUAUUAAGUCAUUGUUAUCAGUCAAGUGUUCAUGCUGAUUAAAAGCUUUAAAAAUAAUGUUGUAUCUACCUGAAUGAGGAAAGCUAAACCACCUGCCAUUAUUGUAAGUAUUUACAUUUUAUCGUCAACCAAACCCAAUGCACAAGCUAAGCAUAUUGUCACUAACAUCAAUGAACACUAUGGUAGGCACAAUUUGCAUUUAGCUUAAUACAUUUAAACAACAUUACAUAGAUAACUGAAUUUGUCCUUAGAAAAUCUACCAUGACUUGAGACAAAUAUUACAAAUUUCUCUUUGAGACAAAAAAUCUGCUUGCUCAGUUGCAAGAACCUAUUAACAGUAUUGCCAUAGGUAUUCAUUUUUUAGGUUCUUUCCAAGCAAAUUUUAGAGGUAUACAUCAGUGAAUGUGAUUAGUCUGCUUAUUUCAAUAUGGAGCAUUUUCAGAUCCUAAAUAUCAAUAAUUUAUAGCAGAGGUGGGACUACUGCUGACUACCAUUCAGGGAUUCCAUCAGGUUACCCAUGUACUUAGGACCACCCAAUGGGUAUUGCUUAACAGCGGCCUGGUUGGGAGCAGUGGCCUUUUAACAGCGCAAGUGGACCCCUGUAGUAUCAGCGAUGCCUGAAAGAAGAGAGAGCAGGUCACGUCCUCCCUCAUACAGAGGGUGCCAUGCGGGAGGGAGAGGAAGUGGAACAGGUGAGGGCAGGAGCAAGGAGAGCGCCAUCUCCAGUCUCACAUUCCCAUCAGCCAGCACCAGAAGGACCCCAAGGAAGCCACCCCCUGCCCAUAGAAGGAUGUCAAAUAUAAAAUUAUGACAUAUAUAUGUGAAUAUAUCUACGUGUGUGUCAGUUUGUGUGUAUCUGUGUGUCAGUGUGUGCAUGUAUGUGUCAGUGUUUGUAUCUGUGUUUAAAGGUAUGUGCAUGUGUCAGUGUGUGUAUCUGUGUAUCAAGGUGUGCGUAUGUGUCAGUGUGUGUAUCUGAGUCUGUGUAUAUGUCAGUGUGUGUAUUUGUGUUUCAGGGUGUGUGUAUAUGUCAAUGUGUGCAUGUUUCAGUGUGGGAGUGAACCACUAGUUUGGGGCUAUUGAUAUUAAUUAAGAUAUUUAGUUAAUUCCAUUUAUAGUGGCUCUGGAGAUUAUCCUCAAGCUAACAAUCACAGCACAUCAAAUGACGAUAAUCAUCUGAGCACUUAACCUAUACAAUAGUAUAUAGAAAAUACCUUUUUUUUUCAUUUUCCGUAUAGAAGGCUUUACUGUUUUAAACACAGUAGUAAAAGUAGAAAAGAUACUUGUGUGUAUGUGUUUGAGCUGUGUAAGCACCUUAACCCAUUGAUGUGUACUGAAGUAUCGCUGAAAUAUAAAUAUUCAUAGGACACAAGUGUGGAGUAAAAACUAUGAAAAAUGGAGAAUCACUAAUAAUGAUGGAAGAUUGUAAAGUGUGUAAACUGUUAUACCAAAGACAUAAAAUUAAAAGCAAUAUGCUAGGCAAAAAAGAAGUCUGCAAAGUGAUACAAUUAAAACGAGACAUUAAUGGAUCGAAAAACAGGUAUGUGUAAACAAAGGAUAGAAAAUGUUUCAUAGAAUUCAUAAAAUAAUGUAAGUGGGAGAGGGCAGCAAAGAUUAUAUGGGCGAUUUUGUAGAUAAGCAGGUGACUGUAAGAUUUUGGUGAUGCUCCUCUCCAAAUAUUUGUUUACAUUAAGUUAAGAAGCAAUAAAUAUUUCUAGAGGAAAUUAUAUAUUUAUGUAUAUAAAUAUACUGUAUAUUUUAUAUAAGGUAUAUUAACUGUACUGUAUCAUCAUGUUGUGUAUAACGCCAUUAUUUCAUAUCCUAAUGAACCAUUUCUCUUCUCUCUUAUCUCCCCUCUUCACUCUUCAUCUUGUUUGUCCAGUGCUGGUUGAAGUCUAAUGUUUCACUUGUCCUGCGUGUAACUCUCCUGAAGCAACCAAGGCACCUCCCGAUAAUAUAGCAGCAUGGCUAUCUCCUCACGCCUAGCACUAUGGGAACAGAAG